ACGAAUUGGAGGCAAAUUUGUUGAAAAGCAAAGACGCAAAGCCAUGGGUCUAAGGUAAGUCUAAUGACUUAUGAUGACAGCCGGUUGCCGAU
rfam:Paenibacillus sp. TCA20 DNA, contig: PspTCA2nb01.